CCGGGUCAGCCAAAUCCAGGAUCAGUGAAAAAAUGACUUGUUCAUCUGUUCUGGAAUGAGAUCUUUCUUCCCACCAUUCUUAGUUAUAAAGAUAUCUUUUGUGUGGUUGUCGCUAAAUUUAAGCCCAGGCUGAGCGUAUUUAUUUGUGCACUAUCUACAUGCAUUUUAUGCAUCAGCAGUGCAUAGUGGUAGGCUGCACGCACAAUUAGGGCUUUAUGACUUUUGAAGUCACCUAAUACAAAGAUUUAUGUAUUUGCAGCAAUAAAAACCUGUGAUGGGGAUGGAUGUUUUGCAGACCUACAGCCCGAUUCUCCUUUGUGCGGUCUUGGUUUCGCUCCACUGCCUGCAGUGGCACCGAUCCUCACACCACCUGAGCACCACAAGAACAGAAGAAGGAAACCCACCCCCAGUGCAAGCCUGGGGAGGUUGGAUCCCGCAUAGCUCACUCUUAUUUCAGACCGUAGCCCUGCGCAGAGUGGGCCUGGCAACAGGAAGGAAACCUUGCAGGAUGCUCCUUGCACCGAGCAGCUCAUGCAGCAUUGUCACCGUGUCGUGGGGGCUUCCAGGGCACCAAAAGCACAGGUGUGUGCAUGGAAGUGAAGGGAACGUAAGCUUUCGAUGAGGAGCCGGGUUAAUGGAUACUGAAGAUGGUGGUGGUAGGGAGAAUGGUAAAGGAAAAUUCAGGAGCUGGUUUUACCUCUUUCAGUUUUGAAGGCUCCUAGGCAAAAUGGCUCAGAGCCGUCCAGCUAUGGGAAAAAAAAAAGGGAAAAAAAAAGAGAAUCCUUUUGCAUAGGUUUUGAUUUGUUGUGUUUUUUGGGGUUUUUUUUCAUGACGAUGGGAAACAGAGCGUAGCCAAACUCCUGACAUUUCAUGAGUUAUAAAUAUUGUACAAAAUUAUACUUCUGGCACCAGAAAAUGCUUUCUCCUGUUGUUCAAAGUGACUCCAGAUGCUGAUGUAUUUAGUGUACUGCGCAAGCACGCGGACCGGAAUGAAAAAGCAAAGUAAAUGAGUUUACAUUCAUCUGUCAAUACUCCUAAGGGACAGCCUGUUCAGGCUGCCAAGUCUGCUCUGCGUAUGCGUGCAUAACUUCAGCGGGCCGGAGAUUCCCACAGUGGAAUCUCCUCCAUGAGCAGGGGCGCUCUGCCGCCGCAACCUGGUGGAGGUGGUGACCGCUCCCCUUCUGAGUGUCCUCCAUCUCCUGCAGGAUUGGCAGAAAGAGCUUUCCAAAGGACCUGGGCAUUUUACGUUUUAAAUAGCUAUAUGUUUCACUGACUGCUGUCCCUCACUUGAGACAGUCCCAUGAAAAGGGAUUUUGACUGUACAAACAGCAGCAAUUUCCAUCCCAAACGCUGGAGUGAUUUGAUGCCCAUGAAAAAAAGCAAACAAGGCACAUGUGAGAGAAGAAGCUGCUGUGGCCAAUGUCCAGCAUAUGUUGGAAACACAUGGAAGAAAGAAGAAAAGAUGAGAGAAUUCAAGAGAUGAAGCGUCAAUGGAAUCGUGAAGGCUGGAAAAGACUGCUAAGUUCAUCUAGUCUUCACCAUCAGCCCAUCCCCAGAAUGCCCACUAACCCAUGUCCUUCAGUGCCAAUGAGAGAGGCAAGCGGUGAGAAAGGGCCUUUGGAUGGCACAGCCAUUCAUCUCAGAGACAGUUUUUUUCCCGUGCUCUGUGAAUUUCAGUGUGACACUCAUUGAAAUGUUAACUGCCGGAAACUACCGUGGCCUUCCUCGGGUUGGUUUCUCCACCAAAGGUCAGGGCAGGCUGCCAGGACAGCUCGCCAACCGCACUGCUUUACGGAGCGGCGUUCUCAUUGACACCGCAACAGCGGUGGGCAACGGAGUGCUAGGAAAAAGUAUGCUGCUAAAGUGGGAUCACGUUUCUGGAGCAGACUACAUAGAGAAAAGGGUUAGGAAGGUUUUGUAAGGUAGAAGAGACAAAACCUGAUUUCUUCUCACCAGACUUCCAGUUGCAGGAUGUGGAUCAAAUGACUCCCGCUUAUCGCACCUCCACCCCUAAACUGAAGGAAUAAGUGCCUGAAAACUCAGCUUGUGUUACCAAAUAAAUAGCAAGAAUGUGGGAUUCCCUAUCUGUGCUGCAGGGACUGCCCUCCUUCAGCUUUCUUCUCCUUAAUAAAAAAGCUAGGGCAUCCGGUUCCUGCGCCCCACUUGGUAGCACAGCACCAGUUAACUCACAGAGCCAGUUCUUGACACGUCAGAAAAGAGCAGAUUUAAAAUUCUCUUUGCAGUCCCUGGCCUGGCACACGUGUGUUCUCACAGACUCGUCCACGACACCGCCGAACUGCAGACUUUCCCACAGGAUGCAUGCCUCAUGCUGUACAACAGGAUAAUCACGCCCAGUGGCAGAAAUAAAUUAGCAUAGCAAUCUCAAUCUGCUGCCCGACUGUUUUUUCUCGUAUGUAAACUUCAAAGUCACUCAGAGGUCAAAGCUUGGAUGAAGACAGACCGAGGAGAACAGCAGCGGUGAGAACACGCAGUGCGGAGAAGCCGGGGAUGUCGGUGGCAGCACAUCGCCUCCAUCGAGGUGCUGGGGAGAUGACCUACGUCUUCGACGUGGCAUGCCAUGAUCUGAGCGUCUGAUGUGGUUGUUGAGGCUUCUGUGCUCACUGGGAAAUUGUCUUGCAGAGGAGCGAAGGGCACGGCCAUGCUCUGGCGGACUUGACAUUCACUGGCUGGUCUUGGUUCAGGCAGUCUGGAAAUAGCUAAAUAGAUCACCGUGAAAAUACUGGAGAAAAACAGCUUUUUCGUGGUUUGUGUUGAAUGCAGAGGGCUUCGGGGUUGGGUGCAAGUUCGGAUAGCACUUACAAUAGCACUGAAAUUAUUUCCCACAGAUGUAUUAGCUUGCAUUUGUUGCUUCUUCCACUUCCACAGUAAAUUCCCACAGGCACUGUGGGAAGAGAGCAUCCUUCUGUAGUGCUGGGCCUCCCCACCAGGGCUAAGAAGGGUUUCAGGCUUAGGAAGUACUUGAAACGCUCCCGAUACAAGGAGCACAUCUAAUGUGUGCCUUGUUGUCCCUUGUUAACAUAACCAGAAGCCACAUUGCUCUCUGCUGCUUCUCACUCAACAACCUUUUUCUGCUGGUUCCGGGCCACUUAGCAUCAUUCUUUUCCUUAAUGAGCUUCACAUCAGUUCUCAUUUUAGCUGAGAGAAAUAAUUUUUGGGCCAGUUUCAAUGAGUUUUGCAAGAAUUAAAGUGAUACUCACUUUUUCAUUAGUGACUCUUUACCACUAACACAGCUCUGCUUACUCCUGAUUUCCGUGCCUCUACGCGUUAAUGCAAAAGCAGAGAAGAAAAAAAACAAAAACACAGCGAGAGAAAAGAAAGAAAAAGUGUUAAUGUGGGAAGAGAAAGCAAAAGUGUGAAGUGGCUCUGUGAAGAGCCACGUGGGUGCAAAGAGAAGCGACAGGGACGCAGGGAAAAGCAGCUGGAAAGCAGGAGUGUGGAGAAAAAUGAGGCUAGGAGGAGGGGUAAAGGGGAGCAGGAGUGGGAGCGGGGAG
ensembl:lncRNA